UACGGGGGGAGCAAGCGUUGUUCGGAUUUACUGGGCGUAAAAGGGCGCGUAGGCGGCCACCGCAAGUCGACUGUGAAAUCUCCGGGCUUAACCCGGAAAGGUCAGCCGAUACUGCGGGGCUAGAGUGCAGAAGGGGCAACUGGAAUUCUCGGUGUAGCGGUGAAAUACGUAGAUAUCAGGAGGAACACCGGAGGCGAAGGCGGCCAUCUGGCGAGACAUUGACGCUGAGGCGCGAAAGCGUGGGGGAGCAAACAGG
rnacentral:rRNA from 1 species